rnacentral:tRNA from 1 species
GGUAGCUCAGCGGGAGAGUAUAUGCCUUGCAAGCAUGAGGCCCUGGGUUCGAUUCCUCAGAACCA